rnacentral:rRNA from 1 species
UACGUAGGGUGCAAGCGUUGUCCGGAAUUAUUGGGCGUAAAGAGCUCGUAGGCGGUUUGUCGAGUCUGCUGUGAAAACCCGAGGCUCAACCUCGGGCCUGCAGUGGGUACGGGCAGACUAGAGUGCGGUAGGGGAGAUUGGAAUUCCUGGUGUAGCGGUGGAAUGCGCAGAUAUCAGGAGGAACACCAAUGGCGAAGGCAGAUCUCUGGGCCGGAACUGACGCUGAGGAGCGAAAGCCAGGGGAGCGAACGGG